rnacentral:sRNA from 2 species
GGACAGUCAUCGCCGAGUCCCCGUACGGCGCGAGCCAGGGGAGCCGGGGACCCACCUGUGCAGUCCCUGGGGUGAAUCGGACGCCCGCGCGUGAGCGAGGGCGGCCGUAGGAGACCUUCCUGCUCCGAACCCGUCAGCUAACCCGGUAGGCGAGAAGGAAGGAAAG